AUGACAGCAGUUGUCCCAAAAUUUCAGUAUUUUCAGUUGUUUGUCGACCAUAAAGAUAUGACAUUUGACAAUGUAAUUGAUGACAUUCAUGUUAGUGGUACACCUGAUCUUCCUCCUGUACUAAGCCCUAAGUCUCCUCAAUUUAUUACUAGAAUUAGGGGCAGUCCUAGGUUUAAUGUUAAAGCUCAGAAAGGCAGUCUCAACCAGUGUCAUGCAGGCAGCAACAAUGUAGGCAGUAGCAGUGUUCCACCAAUGGCACAAAGUGUUAGCCAUGAGCUCAGAAGAAGUAGGAGAAAGCUUGUGGUAGAAGAAGAAAUUCCCAAUGAAAAAGACAGUGACAGUGAUAACAGUGAGUGGGAUUCAGACUGGGUUGACUCUGACAAUGAAGUAAGUAAAGAUGAUGAUGAUCUUUAUGAAGAAUGGGUGGAUGACAAAUUUGAGCAGAAGAAAAAGAAUAAAUCCAAAUGGAAGCAGGACAAUGACUAUGAAUUUGAUGAGUUGUAA
rnacentral:rRNA from 1 species